rnacentral:rRNA from 1 species
CAUGUAGGCGUUUCGGUAAGUCGAAUGUGAAAUCCCGUAGCUCAACUACGGAACUGCAUUCGAAACUACCGGGAUUGAGUACGGAAGAGGAGAAUGGAAUUCCCGGUGUAAGAGUGAAAUCUGUAGAUAUCGGGAGGAACACCAGUAGCGAAGGCGAUUCUCUGGUCCGAUACUGACGCUGAAAUGCGAAAGCUAGGGGAGCAAACA